CCCUUCGGGCUUUAUGGAAAAUUUGAUAAUGUACCAACCCGUAUUUAUAUCCCGAUAAAUAUUUUUAAAUGAUACCUUAUUACUUAUAUUUACAUUUUUGGUCGGUAACAUUGCUGAAUUGUGUUAACAACACGUUUCCAUACAUUUCAAAUUGUUGACGUCCACAACGAAGCGUCAUAGAUGUUCAAAAUGACGACAACACAAAACAAAGUUCUAUAAAAUGAAGAACUGUUUUAAUUAUUAAGACGCUAGAAAGCUAGACGCUAGAAAGCAAGUAUAUCAACAUAUACUUAUACAUUAACUCGGGAGUAUAUAAUGGAAAAUUCUUCCAUAUGUCUAAUUUUAGGGGGUGGGGGAAUUAUGAUUUAAACGGGGAUGCGCAGUGUUACAAUUAGAGUUGUGAUGCGCUUUGACGUUGAAGACCGACUUUGAAAGAUAUUCUGUGGAUAUUACGGAGUUAACAGAAGACUGAGAUGGAGGAACAUGAAGAACUGGGCGGCAGUCGUCAGGUGUAGGCAAAUCAUUUAUAGACAGGACAGAGACGCUCAGAUGAAUCUCCGGAAAGAACUGAACAUCGCACGAACGUGGAACUGCACGAAGGUAAGGGACGGUUUGGAUUUGGAUAUGUAAUUGUUAAUAAACAUGAGCUCACUGAACGCUUCUUUUGACUCGAUAAUUUUUUGUAAUAGGUUUUUAACGACACCUCGCUUCGAUGUCCCGACAUAAACUUGGAAACCGACAUCAAGCACCUAUGACUGCUGUGGCACGGAAGCAGUGUGGUGUGUAGGUCUUAAUGCACUUUGACGACUUAUCGGUCAUACAUCCUGUGAAUGACCUUUUUGCUAAAGCCUAAUGUCAUCGUCUAGCAGUAGGUACAAUUCCGCAUCACCGAUGACCAGGGUGAAGUUGUAGCAGACGAGAUUUUAGACAUACAUUAGGCUUAGUAGGCUAGUAACUAAAGACAUUGUUUACAGAAAUGCUUUUAUCAAUUAUUGAUGAAAGUCCACUGCUUGGAAUACAAAUAAAACCGUAAAUACAUUUUGUGAUGUUCAUUUCAUCUAUUGAAAGAUUUCUGUAGUAAGUGAGAGCGAUUGGUAGAUGUGUAUUGCCUUAGUAAAAGUAGUACCUGUUACCUACUUUUAACAAAUGUUCAUACGCACAGCCGUGACCUCUGUUGACCCUGUAGUAGAUUUAUCCUGGGAUAAAUACGUAUUGCUCGUAAUAGUGUUAUGUAGGAGAAAACGGUUGCAAAUGUAAAUGUAAAACUUAUACGGUACCAAUUUUGAUGCACCAGAUGCGCAUUUCGACAAAUAAUGUCUCUUCAGUGAUGCUCAACCGAAAUGUUUGAAAUCCGAAAUAACUAUGAAGUUUUAGAUCUAAAUAUAGCCAAAAACAGCGUGCCAAACAAGUGGAGCCAAAUUCGUCCAAGGAUUAGAGCUAUGCAUGAGGGAGAUAAUCCUUAAUUUUGAAAUGAAUUUCUAAAUUUUAUAACAGCAAUUAAAUAUACAUCCGUAUUUUCAAGCUAGUAACGAAGUACUUAGCUACUGGGCUGUAGAGACCCUCGGGGACUAACAGUCCACCAGCAGAGGCCUCGACCCAGGGGUCAUAAUGUAAAACUUAUACGGUACCAAUUUUGAUAUAAAAUAUAAGAGGAAUAACAAAAUCCAGGAUUAGACACAUCAAAACAAAAGUACGUACCAUCUAUAUUUCUGUGUUUAGUAAACCAGACGUGAUAAAAGAAGUAGAUACUAGUAGGUUGCAUAAGGAAUGUGUUUUCAUUCCAGCUGACAAGGCUUGUAACAACAUUGUCUUUGGUUUUAAGGCUCAUUAUUACAGCUGCAUUUUAAACCAACUUGGCAUUAAUUACACUUUUAAUAACCGUAUACUUAUACUCCAACUCCCAUUUCAAAUGAUAAAAUGCUUCAAAACCAUGUUUCCGUUUUAGACACAUUUAAUAUCCCAGUCAAUUGGUCGGAUGAAUAUGAGAUACCGUAACUAUACUGGAUUCCUAAACUUCAUAAAAACCUUUACAAAGAUACAUUGCAGGAUUCACAUUUCAGCGGUACUAUUGUUGUGCUGAAAUUCCAAGUGCAUUUGGAACAAUUGGAAAGGUGUUCGGGAAAGGUUUUAUUACAAACUACCGGAAAUCUUGAAUCACCUGCAGCUGAAUGACAAAGUGAACGGCAAAGUAGAGGUCAUUAUGUAUGAUGACAAAGAGGAAAUUCUCAUUGACGUUCUAAUGAGAGAAUUUCGAGAUGUGAGAGAUUCAACAAACAUUGCAAAAAAAAUGGCAAGAGAGCAUUAGAAUUGUUGAAUUGCCACUUUCAUUUCAAACAACAUUUUAUCAGUAUUGUUAUCAAUCGUUAUACUAGUAUGCUAAACUUUUCAACUUUCUGUCCUUAUUUAUUUCACUGAUUCAUCAUGGACUUAGAAAGGUAGAUCAAUAUUAAAUUAAUAGAAAACCAGCGGGAUUACUGAGGUAUAUAAAUGUGACGCAUAAAUCGUAAUGCGGAAUUUUAUCGCGAACUGCGCGCCAUAAUUGAUUGAGAGUUAUUUAUAGAGUUCUGUCCUUGCGAAUCAUUUUCUUUGAGAUUGAAAAAUAUGUAAAAUAAUGUAUUUAAGUUUCAGAUACAAUUUAAUAUUAGUAUUUUAUAAUUUUAACUAUAGUCCAGGUAAUUAAGAAAUUUAUAAAUUAUGUUUGAUUACUUGGAAUAUUAAAACCGGUUUGUCGGCUUAUUUAUAACUCACUCACUAUAUGUGCCCGCUCUUCAUUCUGACGCCGCCCUUCACACAGUUCACUGGGUGUUCGAAUAGAGUUCGGGGUAACACAUUUUUAAUAUUGAAUACCUCUUCGUUCCGGUGAGACGGGUUUAAUUGGGUGUGGCACUGCCAUACAAUUGGGCUCAUUGCCAAUUUGUAUAUAUAAUAAAAAUAGUGAUAUUGAACCAAAAUCUUUGUCAUAUAAGGGUAUUAUUAUACCCCCCGCAACAAGUUGUGGGGGGGGGGUAUACUGGAAUCGGGUUGUCCGUCUGUCUGUCCGUCCGUCCGUCUGUAGACGCAAUGGUUUCCGGACUCUAAAGCAUUAUCCUUUCCACCUACCGUCACCAUAUCAUAUAUAUGGACUACCCAUGGGAUGAAGAUGUUCCCUAUCGAUUUUGGGGUCAAAAGGUCAAAGGUCAAGCGCACUGGACAUCUCGAAGUAGCAAUAUGGUUUCCGGCCUCUAAAGCGUUAUCCUUUCCACCUACAGUCACCAUAUCAUACAUAUGGACUACCCAUGGGAUGAAGAUGUUCCCUAUCGAUUUUGGGGUCAAAAGGUCAAAGGUCAAGCGCACUGGACAUCUCGAAGUAGCAAUAUGGUUUCCGGGCUCUAAAGCGUUAUCCUUUCCACCUACAGUCACCAUAUCAUACAUAUGGACUACUAGCUGCAAUAAUGUAGCCCUCUCUGUUUUUUUUU